rnacentral:rRNA from 1 species
GACGAACGCUGGCGGCGUGCUUAACACAUGCCAGUCGAACGGAAAGGCCCUGCUUUUGUGGGGUGCUCGAGUGGCGAACGGGUGAGUAACACGUGAGUAACCUGCCCUUGACUUUGGGAUAACUUCAGGAAACUGGGGCUAAUACCGGAUAGGAGCUCCUGCUGCAUGGUGGGGGUUGGAAAGUUUCGGCGGUUGGGGAUGGACUCGCGGCUUAUCGGCUUGUUGGUGGGGUAGUGGAUUACCAAGGCUUUGACGGGUAGCCGGCCUGAGAGGGUGACCGGCGACAUUGGGCCUGAGAUACGGCCCAGAAGCCUACGGGAGGCAGCAGUGGGGAAUAUUGCACAAUGGGCGGAAGCCUGAUGCAGCGACGCCGCGUGCGGGAUGACGUCCUUCGGGGUGUAAACCGCUUUCGCCUGUGACGAAGCGUGAGUGACGGUAAUGGGUAAAGAAGCACCGGCUAACUACGUG